rnacentral:rRNA from 1 species
CCAAUAGCGUAUAUUAAAGUUGUUGCAGUUAAAAAGCUCGUAGUUGAAUUUCGGGAUCAAUUUAUCGGUCGUGCCAACGGUAUGAACUGGUACAAUUGGUUUCUCCCUUCUGAUGAAGCUCGAUGUCAUUAACUUGGUGUCGGGGGGAAUCAGGACUGUUACUUUGAAAAAAUUAGAGUGUUUAAAGCAGGCCUUGGCUUGAAUACAUUAGCAUGGAAUAAUGAAAUAGGACGUUUGAUCCUAUUUCGUUGGUUUCUAGGAUCGACGUAAUGAUUAAUAGGGAUAGUUGGGGGCAUUAGUAUUCAAUUGUCAGAGGUGAAAUUCUUGGAUUUAUUGAAGACUAACUACUGCGAAAGCAUUUGCCAAGGAUGUUUUCAUUAAUCAAGAACGAAAGUUAGGGGAUCGAAGACGAUCAGAUACCGUCGUAGUCUUAACCAUAAACUAUGCCGACUAGGGAUCGGAUGAUGUUAAUUUUUUAAUGACUCAUUCGGCGCCUUACG